UUUUGUGGUCAUACCAGCCUGUCAUUGUUAGAUCCCGUUAGAUCUCUGAAGCUAAGCAGGUCUGGGCCUGGUUAGUAGUUGGAUGGGAGACCACUGAGAAUUCCAGGUGCCACAGUGA
rnacentral:rRNA from 1 species